rnacentral:rRNA from 1 species
GCAAGUCGAGCGGGAAAGUUCCCUUCGGGGGGCGAGUACAGCGGCGAACGGGUGAGUAACACGUAGGUAACCUACCUCGGAGACUGGGAUAACUUGUCGAAAGGCGGGCUAAUACCAGAUAAGACCACGGAGGCCUCGGCUUCUGUGGGAAAAGAUGGCCUCUGCUUGCAUGCUAGUACUCCGAGAUGGGCCUGCGCACCAUUAGCUUGUUGGUGAGGUAACGGCUCACCAAGGCUUAGAUGGUUAGCUGGUCUGAGAGGAUGAUC